rnacentral:lncRNA from 1 species
UAUCAUAAGUGUUUCAUGUAUUCAUAUUAUCACAUGAAGCAUAUUAUCAUUUUUAAGAUUCAUAACAUGAAUAACGUUAUUACUAUUUCAUCAAAAUCAAUUUCGAGAUUCACACAAUAUCAUGAAAUCAUUAAUCUCGAUAAGAUGGGAAAAGCAUUUUCUUUUUAAGUGAUUCUUUUAACACAUCAUAAAAAACUCAUUCAUAAUUCAAGUGAUUUACAAGAUAUCAUAAAUGAAUUUAUCACUUGUAUUUCAU